UGAGCAAUCUGCCCUUCUCAUCGGAAUAAGCGUUGGAAACGACGUCUAAUGCCGAAUACGACCUCCUUUCGCAUGAUCGGAGGUGGAAAGCUCCGGCGGAGAAGGAUGAGCUCGCUGCCUAUCAGCUAGUUGGUGUGGGUAAUGGCCCACCAAGGCGACGACGGGUAGCCGGCCUGAGAGGGUGACCGGCCACACUGGGACUGAGACACGGCCCAGCUCCGUAGG
rnacentral:rRNA from 1 species